GUCCUUUAGAAUAGAAUUUAAGGUCUGACCUGCCCACUGAAAAUUUUAAAAGGCCGCAGUAAUUUGACUGUGCAAAGGUAGCAUAAUCAUUAGUUUUUUAAUUAAAAGCUUGUAUGAAGGGUUGGACGAGAUAAAGACUGUCUCUGAAUAAAUAGUAGAAUUUAAUUUUUAAGUUAAAAAGCUUAAAUAUUAUUAAAAGACGAGAAGACCCUAUAGAUCUUUAUAGUUGAUAAUUAAUUUUAUUUAUGAUUUUUUUAUUUAUUAGUAGUUAAACUAUUUUAUUGGGGUAAUAGAAAGAUUUAAAUAAUUCUUUUUUAAGUAAAACAAUAAUAAUUGAAAAUUUGAUCCAUUAUUAGUGAUUAGAAGAUUAAGUUACCUUAGGGAUAACAGCGUAAUUUUUUUAAAGAGUUCAUAUCGAUAAAAAAGUUUGCGACCUCGAUGUUGGAUUAAAACUUAUCUUAGGUGCAGAAUUUUAAGAUUUUGGUCUGUUCGACCAUUGAAGUUUU
rnacentral:rRNA from 1 species